AUCUGCAUUUUCACUGUGGCCUGUCGUGUGAGGUCAGGUGUGGAAUUUUCCACUUGUGGUAUGUUGGCGCUCAAAAAGUUUUGGAUUUUGGAGCAUUUCGGAUUUCAGAUUUUCAGGUUAGAGAUACUCAACCUAUACUACGUGUUGUGGCCGGAUGCUUUACAUUUACCAUUAGUAGUUCACGGGCUGGGCUCGGUGGCUCACGCCUGUAAUCCCAGCACUUUGGAAGGCCGCGGCAGGCGGAUCACCUGAGGUCAGGAGUUCGAGACCAGCCUGACCAAUAUGGUGAAACCCUGUCUCUACUAAAAAAUACAAAAAUUAGCCGGGCAUAGUGGCACACGCCUGUAAUCCCAGCUACUCUGGAGGCUGAGACAUGAGAAUCACUUGAACCCAGGAGGUGGAGGUUGCAGUGAGCCAAGAUCGCGCCACUGCACUCCAGCCUGGGUAACAGGGUGAGACCUUGUCUCAAAAAAUAAAUUAAAAAAAAAAAAAAAAAAAAGUUCACGGAACCUCAUGAUUAGAUGAGAUGGCUGUGGCAAGCUGGCUGCCCAGGAAGCGGACUCAGAGAGUAAGCCGUGCCCCUGCGUUCUACAAUGGUAGGGAGCGUUAGGAAGAACUGAAGAGCAGACAGACAUAGCGCCAGCAACCCGCCUCCACCCCAAGGGGAUUCAGGGGCUGGAGAUCCCUGCAGUUGCCUGGCAUUCCUGCAGUUGCCAAGGGGUGGGGCUGGGCUUUUGUUCCUCCCGUAUUAUUCAGUCAUUGGCUGUGGGCGCCCAGGAAGAAGCGUGACCUUGGGUGGGGCAGUCUUCUUCAGCCAAUCCUCAGAGAGGACUAACAGCCCUCCCAGCAGAGGGAGAUUAAGUCCUUCACUCCCGGGAGGUGUCUGGGAAGCACAUCCCAGUGUGUACCGCAGCAGCUAUGCAUGUGUCGUUUUACCCAUGAGAAAUCGGAAGUUCAGAAGGGACAGAGCCAGGAUGUGAGCCUAGAUCUAUUAACACCUGUGAAUCCUGUGCUGUUUUCCACCAUUCUUGCUGCCAAUUCGGCACAUUUUCAUGCCUCUCGACUUCUUACGGUGCCCGCCAUAUUCCCAGUAGAAACAGGGUUUCACCAUGUUGGCCAGAAUGGUUUUGAACUCCUGACUUCAAGUGACUUACCCUCCUUGGCCUCCCAAAGUGCUGGAAUUAUAGGCAUGAGCUGCUGCACCCAGCCUGAAUGCUUAUGACUUGCUGGCACUGAAAGCCAUGAAGAGUAACUGAACGGAGGCGAAUAAGCUCAUAGCUUGGGAGGAAACAGCAACAUAGCAACGUCUUUAUUUUUGCCUUAUUGAUAUAACCUUGUUCACAAAGAAGACAUGGAAGGGAAGGGACUUGGAGAGUGAGAGAGGAAACAGAAAAGAAAGAUUCUGAGGAAGGGCCAGGAGGAAGCAAAUAGAGCUUCCAGUUCACGCUCCGGGAGUAUUCAAAGUGUCCAUGGGAGAGCUAUGGGUGGGCUUGCUUCACAUGCAGGGGGAGGCCUGGCUAUAGCUACCUUCCUCCCAGCUCUGACCCCAAAGUGAGGUCAGUGUCCAGUCUCCAUGUGAAUGAUUCUCAGACCCCAUCCUUUCCCCAGCAGGUUGCAAAGGCUGCGUCAUCUGUGCCUAUGCACAAGCCUGGGCCCAGAGAUUCUCUCAAGCCCUAGUGUCUCUGCUCUCCAGAUCAAGAGAACCAGCAGGGGCUAUAUCUAUAGAGAAGUUUAUUUUAAGGCAUUGGCUCGAAUGACAAUGGAGGCUGGCAAGUCCAAAAUCUACAGGGUAGUCCUGCAGUCUGGAAACCCAGGGAGGAGUUGAAGUUUGAGUCCCAAGGCAGUCUGCUGGCAGAAUUCCCUCUUGCCUCUGAGGAAAUUAUUGGAUGAGGCCCACCCAUUCAAUGGAGGGUCAUCUAAUUUACUAAAAGUCUAUUGAUUUAAAUGUUAAUCUCAUUUGAAAACAUCUUUGGCUGAGUGUGGUGGCUCAUGCCUGUAAUUUCAGCACUUUGGGAGGUGGAAGUAGAUGGAUUACUGGAGAUCAGGAGUUCGAGACCAGCCUGGGCAACAUGUCUAUACUAAAAAUACAAAAAAAAAAAAAAAUUAGCUGGGCAUGGUGGCGCAUGCCUGUUAUCCCAGCUACUUGGCAGGCUGAGGCAGGAGGAUUGCUUGAACAUGGGUGGCAGAGGUUGCAGUAAGCCAAGAUUGCACCAUUGCACUCCAGCCUGGGUGAAAAGAGUGAAAUUCCAUCUCAUAAAACAACAAAAUGAAAAAAACAAAAACACCUUCAAAGAAACAUCUGGAAUAAUGUUUGACCAACUAGCUGGGUACCGUGGCUCACCAAGUUGGCACAUGAAGUUAACUAUCCCAUCUGGAAAGGGAAGAUGGCUUCGUGGCAGAGCUGACUUUGGAGGGAGGGUAGCAACUGAUGCUUUUCGCCCCUUCUCCUUUUUUUUUUUUUUUUAAACAUUAUUCACUUAUUUACACUUUCAAACUGUAAUACAGGCAUGUAGUAAAUAAUUCAAAAGUUCUGAAAAGGUAGAAGAUGAAAAGUGAGUCUCCCUUCUACUUCUGACCUGUUUCUUGGGAAUUCUUUCAGAGAGAUAAAACAAAUCUAUAACAGGGAGGGGAGUACUAAACACCGGGGUCUAUUGGGGGGAAAAGGGGAGGGCCAGUGGGAGGGGGAGGUGGGGAGGGAUAGCCUGGGGAGAAAUGCCAAAUGUGGGUGAAGGGGAGAAAGGAAGCAAAACACACUGCCAUGUGUGUUCCUACGCAACUGUCUUACAUGCUCUGCUCAUGUACCCCAAAACCUAAAAUGCAAUAAAAAAUUAAAAAACAAAAAACAAAUCUAUAAGCAUUUUCCUUUUAAAAGCAUAAAGAG
ensembl:lncRNA